rnacentral:misc_RNA from 1 species
CCGUGUACCAGUGCAGGAAGGC